CAACAUCUUCUUUCUCCCUGUCUCCCUUCUUCCCUCCCUUCCCUUCCCUCCCUUCCUUCCUUGGAAAAGCUCACCGCAACAACAACUCAACUCCCCGUCGAGGUCACCCAGCUCUUGUUCUCUAUACGGCCACGCAAACAUCGAGGACAAACAGAAGAGCUAUAAACAGCCUUGUCUUACCUUCACCUGUCUCAGCGGGAACUUUUACGAAAGGUGCAAAAAAGGAAGAGAAAAACGCCCUCCUUCAGAAAACCACGGUGGAUAGAAAAUUAACUCUCCUUAAGGAAACACAAGAUAUAUAAGAAAUAGACUCUCCUUGAGAAAUACAAAAGAUAGAUAAAACAGCUUGCGAUGACUUACCUUAUUCCUCCGCGUAGAGUCACCAUCGGCAGAGUCGCUGAGGUCAUCUUGGUCAUCACUUACACGAACAACACACGCGAAGAGCGAUCAACAGUUAUUACGAUCACCACUAACACAUCACGGUCAUCACUUUGUCAUCACCGAACAAUAAGCUGAGGUUUUCUUGCUAAACACUAACGCUAAACCCACACGCGAAGGACGGUCAUCAGUCAUCAGGUUCAUCACUGACUCAUGGCAUCACCGGAAAACACACUUGUCACUUGUACUCAUUGUUAAACGCACACGAUAGCCACUUUUUUUUUUUUUUGCAUUAUUAUCUUCCCUAUUUUCAACUAUUUUUCGUUUACUGAUCUCUACUUUUUUUGUUACUUUUCUAACCUUUUUCUUCAACGAUCGCUACUUUUCCUUCUUUUUCAGUUGGUGUGUUUCCUAUUUUUACCCUUGUUUGUUUACUAAUCUUUACUAUUUUUCCUCUUUCUCUUAAUUGCUACCUUGCCUUUUUUAUUACCAACACAGUCAUCACCGAAAAA